CGACUUCCACAAUUAAAGGAGGUUUUUUCUAUCAUUCGGGUUGAGGAAAGCCAUCAAAGUGGAAUGCUCGAACCCCUCCUUCAGAAGGAUUCGCCUUGGUAUCCACCAAGAGUUCGGAUGGAAGUCACAAAUCAAAUACUUUUGGAGCAAAAUCGGAUGAUCGUGCUUUAGACAAUCCUUCCAAGCAAUCCAAUCGUGAUGGUCUUUGGUAUACUUACUGCAAGAAGCCUUGCCACACAAGUGAUAAUUAUUUUAAUAUUAUGGUAAAGCACAAGUUUUGAGUAGAAUCGGGGGAUUCAAAGGGCAAUAGCGGAAUCAAGCUAAUUUCACCAACAAGAAGGGACCUAUACUUGAAAAAUCUGAAGAAGCUGAAUUUCGAAAAUUCAACAAAGAGGAGGUUGAGAAAUUAUGAAAUUUUCUAAACUUUCUGUCUACUUCCUCUGGUUCAUGUUCAUUGGCUCAGUCUUGUUUCUAAUUCUCUUAAUGCCGAUACAUUGCCUCAUUCCUUCUCCUGGAUACUUGACUUGGGAGCAACGGAUUAUAUGAUCCAUGGCCCAUCUCGAUUUGAGACCUAUAAACCAUGCCUAGGAAAUCAAACAAUUACUGUGGUUGAUGGUUUCCCUACUACUACUAUAGCUGGCCAAGGCCAAAUUUCCUUAGCCCCUUUCAUUUAAAAAAUAUGUUACAUGUUCCAAAAUUAUCCACUAAUUUAAUCUCCAUUCAUCAGCUUACCAAAGAUUUAAAUUGUUGUAUUAUAUUUUUUGAUACCCAUUGCAUCUUUAGGACAAGGUCACAGGGAGAACGAUUGGAUCUGCUAAGGAACGGAAUGGCCUUUACUACCUUGAUGCUGCCAGUAGUUCUUCCACUCCUACAAAUCGGUUCAUCCAAUUCUGCUCAUCCUUCCUCUUUCAAUGAAUUUGAAAUAUGGAUCCAGCAUUUUCGUUUUGGCCAUCCAUCCUUUUUUUUGCUGAAAAAUGUUUCCUUUAUUGUUCAAUAAUGUUGAUGUUCAAAGCUUUCAUUGUGACACUUAUGAAUUUGCUAAACAUCAUAGUGUGUCAUUCCCUUUGAGUAUUAAUAAAUCUUCCAAACCUUUCUUUUUUAUACAUAUAGAUAUUUGGGGUCCAUCUAGAAUUCCUACUCGUACUGGGGCAAAGUGGUUUGUGUGAUUCAUUGAUGACUGUAUUAGGACCAUGUGGAUAUAUCUUAUAGAGAAAAAAAUCUGAGAUCAACCAUAUAAUUCCAUCUUUCCACCAAAUGAUAAAGACACAAUUCGAGAUAUCCAUACAAAGCUGAUAAUGCUCGAGAUUAUUUUAAUUUCACUCUUGCUUCCUUUUUUCAUAAAGAAGGAAUCAUUCACGAAUCCUCUUGUGUUGACGUGUCUCAACAAAAUGGGAUAGCAGAGAGAAAAAAUCGAUAUCUUCUAAAUGUCACUCAUGUCCUUCUUUUCCAUUCUAAUGCCUCGAAAUUUUUUUGGGGAGAUGCCUUCCUUAUAGCAACUUUCCUUAUUAAUAGAGUCCCUUCACGUGUCCUUGGUAAUCAAUCUCCCAUUCACCUAUUGUCUAUCUUUCAUUCUGAGAUUUAUUAUCCGAGUAAUCUUUCUCUUCACAUUUUUGGGUGUCUCCUAUGUCCAUAUUCAUAAACAACACCGGAGAAAGCUUGAUUCUAGAACUUUAAAAUGUGUUUUCGUGGCUAUUCCAAUACACAAAAAGGGUAUAAGUGUUCUCAUCUUCCUAUUCGAAAAAUGUUUAUCUCCAUGGAUGUCACCUUUAAUGAGAAUCAAUUUUAUGUUUUCAAACCCCAUUCCUUUCUUCAGGGGGAGAAGUCUAAGGAUGGCUGGGAGUGGAUAAGUCCUUGAUAAUCUUGGAAGUCUAUAGCCCAUGCCUCCUUUACAUGAACCAUCCUCAUAUGAGAUGCCUCCUCCACAUGAACCAUCUUUAUAUGAGCCGAGACGAGACACUGAAAAUCAGCAACAAAAGCAGCCGGAAUUAAUGCAGUAUUCAAGAAGAAAAAAGGUGAUUUCCAAACCAAUGUGGACCCAAGACUCCAAUCCGGAUGAACAAGAGAUAGGUAAACCAAUUUCUCUUACUAAUUCUAUUCUUAAUGAAGCUAUUCCUAAAGAGCUCAUUUCUCAAAAACUAAAGCUCCCAAUUGCCUUAAGAAAAGCCAUCAAAAAGUGCACUCAACAUCCACUCUAUCCAAUUUCAGUCUCCCUUCAUCGUCUUUCUUCACAACAUAAAAGUUCUCACUAUCCUAGACUCAAUUGAUAUCUCUAAAACAAUACAAGAGGCAUUAAAGAACAAGAAUUGGGUAUAAGCUAUGAAAGAGGAAAUGAUUGCACUAAAAAAGAAUAAGACUUGGGAGGUUGUGACCAGGCCAAAAGGGAAACAACCAGUUGGAUGCAAAUGGGUUUACACUUUAAAAUACCGAGCACAUAGGUCUCUUGAGAGAUACAAGGCAAGAUUAGUUGCAAAGGAGUUUACACAAACCUAUGGGGUAGACUAUCAGAAAACUUUUGCACCAGUAGCAAAGAUGAAUACUGUAAGAAUUAUAUUAUCUCUUGCCGCUGUGUUUGAUUGGGAUUUGCAACAAUUUUAUGUUAAAAAUGCAUUCCUAUAUGGAGAUUUGGAAGAAGAGGUCUUUAUGGAGCCACCAACCGAUUUUGAUGGAGAUUUUGGAGUUGAUAAAAUCUGUUAUUUGAAAAAGACUUUGUACAGCCUAAAACAAUCUCCUAGAACAUGGUUUAGGAGAUUUACAAAGGCAAUGCUGAGAAUGGGAUACAAACAAAAUCAGGAAGACCACACAUUAUUUAUAAAAUACUCAGGUAAAGGUAAAAGUUAUAGCCUUAUUAGUGUAUGUGGAUGAUAUUAUUGUGAGAGGAAAUGAUGUAGCUGAAAGAGAAUCUUUUAGAAAAAGAUUGGCUCAAGAAUUUGAGAUCAAAGAAUCGGAAAACUGAAAUACUUUCUAGGCAUUGAAGUGGCUUACUCAAAAAAAGAAUAUAUUUAUCUCUCAAUGGAAAUAUGUACUAGACCUUCUUAAAGAAAUUAGAAAUCUUUGCGGUAAAGCAGCAAGUAUGUCUAUUGAUUAUAAUCACAAGAUAGGAAGAAUUGAAGAGGGUAGCUUAGUUGAUAAGGGG
rnacentral:lncRNA from 1 species